GAUAACAGUGCAAUCCCAUUCUAGAGUCCAUAUUAACAAUAGGGCUUACGAACUCAAUGUCGUAUGAGGACACCCUAACGGUGUAGCCGCUAUUAAGGGUUCGUCUGUUUAACGGCUAAAGUCCUACAUGAUCUGAGUUCAGACUGGAGUAAUCCAGGUC
rnacentral:ncRNA from 1 species